rnacentral:rRNA from 1 species
UACAGAGGUCUCAAGCGUUGUUCGGAUUCAUUGGGCGUAAAGGGUGCGUAGGUGGCGCUGUAAGUCGGGUGUGAAAUUUCGGAGCUUAACUCCGAAACUGCAUUCGAUACUGCGGUGCUUGAGGACUGGGGAGGAGACUGGAAUUCAUGGUGUAGCAGUGAAAUGCGUAGAGAUCAUGAGGAAGACCAGUGGCGAAGGCGGGUCUCUGGACAGUUCCUGACGCUGAGGAGCGAAAGCGUGGGGAGCGAACAGG